UGCUCCGUUGGCCUAGUGGUUAAAGCAUUCGCUUCGGAUGCGGGAGGUCACGGGUUCGAAACCCUGUGGACUAA